GUGAGCAUAGUUUAAGCAAAACAGUAGAUUGUGAUUCUACAGAUAGAGGAUAAUACCCUCUCGCCCACC
rnacentral:tRNA from 1 species